rnacentral:rRNA from 1 species
CCUACGGGAGGCAGCAGUCGAGAAUCAUUCACAAUGGGGGAAACCCUGAUGGUGCGACGCCGCGUGGGGGAAUGAAGGUCUUCGGAUUGUAAACCCCUGUCAUGUGGGAGCAAAUUAAAAAGAUAGUACCACAAGAGGAAGAGACGGCUAACUCUGUGCCAGCAGCCGCGGUAAUACAGAGGUCUCAAGCGUUGUUCGGAAUCACUGGGCGUAAAGCGUGCGUAGGCUGUUUCGUAAGUCGUGUGUGAAAGGCGCGGACUCAACCCGCGGACGGCACAUGAUACUGCGAGACUAGAGUAAUGGAGGGGGAACCGGAAUUCUCGGUGUAGCAGUGAAAUGCGUAGAUAUCGAGAGGAACACUCGUGGCGAAGGCGGGUUCCUGGACAUUAACUGACGCUGAGGCACGAAGGCCAGGGGAGCGAAAGGGAUUAGAUACCCCUGGUC